CGCUCCAUGAAGAAGAUCUAAAGGAUUUGUCCUCUAGAAAUAGAAACA
rnacentral:tRNA from 1 species